rnacentral:rRNA from 1 species
AACGAACGCUGGCGGCAGGCUUAACACAUGCAAGUCGAACGCGAAAGUCCCGCAAGGGAUGAGUAGAGUGGCAAACGGGUGAGUAACACGUGGGUGACCUGCCUUCGAGCGGGGGAUAACGUCCCGAAAGGGACGCUAAUACCGCAUAACAUCCUGUCCUUUAAGAGAUGGCGAUCAAAGCCGGGGAUUCGCAAGAACCUGGCACUUGAAGAGGGGCCCGCGCCUGAUUAGCUAGUUGGGGGGUAAUGGCUCACCAAGGCAACGAUCAGUAUCCGGCCUGAGAGGGCGGACGGACACACUGGGACUGAGACACGGCCCAGACUCCUACGGGAGGCAGCAGUGGGGAAUUGUUCGCAAUGGGCGCAAGCCUGGCGACGCAACGCCGCGUGGAGGAUGAAGACC